UACGUAGGGUGCAAGCGUUGUCCGGAAUUAUUGGGCGUAAAGAGCUCGUAGGCGGUUUGUCGCGUCUGCUGUGAAAACUCGGGGCUUAACUCCGGGCCUGCAGUGGGUACGGGCAGACUAGAGUGCGGUAGGGGAGACUGGAAUUCCUGGUGUAGCGGUGAAAUGCGCAGAUAUCAGGAGGAACACCGGUGGCGAAGGCGGGUCUCUGGGCCGUAACUGGCGCUGAGGAGCGAAAGCGUGGGGAGCGAACAGG
rnacentral:rRNA from 1 species